GCCCGGAUGGCGGAAUUUGGUAGACGCAAGGGACUUAAAAUCCCUCGAGAUUUAAUCUUGUGCGGGUUCAAGUCCCGCUCCGGGCA
rnacentral:tRNA from 1 species